CGUGUAGGCGGUCGGUUAGGUCUGAUGUGAAAGCCCGGGGCUUAACCUCGGAAGGGCGUUGGAAACUGGCCGACUUGAGUUCGGGAGAGGGAAGCGGAAUUCCGGGUGUAGAGGUGAAAUUCGUAGAUAUCCGGAGGAACACCGGUGGCGAAGGCGGCUUCCUGGACCGAAACUGACGCUGAGACGCGAAAGCGUGGGGAGCAAACAGGAUUAGAUACCCUGGUAGUCCACGCUGUAAACGAUGGGCACUAGGUGUGGGGGGUUUUUAAUCCCUCCGUGCCGCAGCUAACGCAUUAAGUGCCCCGCCUGGGGAGUACGGCCGCAAGGUUAAA
rnacentral:rRNA from 1 species